rnacentral:rRNA from 1 species
UACGUAGGGUGCGAGCGUUGUCCGGAAUUAUUGGGCGUAAAGGGCUCGUAGGCGGUUUGUCGCGUCGGGAGUGAAAUCCACUGGCUUAACUGGUGGCUUGCUUCCGGUACGGGCAUCGCUGGAGUGCGGCAGGGGAGACUGGAAUUCCUGGUGUAGCGGUGGAAUGCGCAGAUAUCAGGAAGAACACCCGUGGCUAAGGCGGCUCUCUAGUACGGUACUGACGCUGAGACGCGAAAGCGUGGGGAGCGAACAGG